rnacentral:rRNA from 1 species
GCGGCCCGGUACAUUGCACUACAAAGAUUACCUUAACCUACCGCCCGAACACUACAAGCGCUAGCUUAAAACCCAAAGGACUUGGCGGUACUCCAAACCCACCUAGAGGAGCCUGUUCUAUAACCGAUAAUCCGCGUUUAACCUCACCACUUCUUGCUCUUUCCGCCUAUAUACCGCCGUCGUCAGCUCACCCUAUGAAGGUUUAACAGUAAGCACAAUGACCCUUCUCCUAAGUACGUCAGGUCGAGGUGUAGCGAAUGAAGUGGGAAGAAAUGGGCUACAUUCUCUCUAUAGAGAACCUACGAACAAAAGUAUGAAAAACUUCUUAAAGGUGGAUUUAGCAGUAAGUAGACUUUAGAACAUUACACUGAAAUCGGCUCUGGAGUGCGCACACACCGCCCGGUCACCCAACAACACAGCGCCGGUCACCCACACUCUCCGCCAGACACCCUCAUUUACCGCAAGUGGGGGGGGGGGGGAGGGAAAAAAACUCUCAUGGGGUGGAGGGGGGGGGUGGGU